GACGAACGCUGGCGGCGUGCUUAACACAUGCAAGUCGAACGGAAAGGCCCUGCUUUUGUGGGGUGCUCGAGUGGCGAACGGGUGAGUAACACGUGAGUAACCUGCCCUUGACUUUGGGAUAACUUCAGGAAACUGGGGCUAAUACCGGAUAGGAGCUCCUGCUGCAUGGUGGGGGUUGGAAAGUUUCGGCGGUUGGGGAUGGACUCGCGGCUUAUCAGCUUGUUGGUGGGGUAGUGGCUUACCAAGGCUUUGACGGGUAGCCGGCCUGAGAGGGUGACCGGCCACAUUGGACCGAGAUACGGCCCAGACUCCUACGGGAGGCAGCAGUGGGGAAUAUUGCACAAUGGGCGGAAGCCUGAUGCAGCAACGCCGCGUGCGGGAUGACGGCCUUCGGGUUGUAAACCGCUUUCGCCUGUGACGAAGCGUGAGUGACGGUAAUGGGUAAAGAAGCACCGGCUAACUACGUG
rnacentral:rRNA from 1 species